AAUGCAUAGCUCCUAUGUAAAAGUCUCCUGACUAUCACAGCUUGUGAAACGAAUGGGCAGAAAAAGACCUUGCACCAGAUAGCUGCAUCUAAAAGAACAGAAGAGAGAAAGGAAGGAAACAUUUAUAAGUACCUACUUUUUGCCAGGCACCAUUCUAAGUGUUUUACUAAUCUUGUCUUCUUUGAAUCUCGCAACAACUCUGAGAGGAUGGCUGAGUACAGGAGAGAAGAAGGAUAUGGUCAGAAAAGAACGGAAUGUAAAAACAAAAGAUGUCCUUACAAAAACAAUUAAUAAAUAAAUGCUGCUACCCAACAUA